CUGAUCCAGCAAUGCCGCGUGCAGGAUGAAGGCCCUCGGGUUGUAAACUGCUUUUGUACGGAACGAAAAGCCUGGGGCUAAUAUCCCCGGGUCAUGACGGUACCGUAAGAAUAAGCACCGGCUAACUACGUGCCAGCAGCCGCGGUAAUACGUAGGGUGCAAGCGUUAAUCGGAAUUACUGGGCGUAAAGCGUGCGCAGGCGGUUUUGUAAGACAGUGGUGAAAUCCCCGGGCUCAACCUGGGAACUGCCAUUGUGACUGCAAAGCUAGAGUGCGGCAGAGGGGGAUGGAAUUCCGCGUGUAGCAGUGAAAUGCGUAGAUAUGCGGAGGAACACCGAUGGCGAAGGCAAUCCCCUGGGCCUGCACUGACGCUCAUGCACGAAAGCGUGGGGAGCAAACAGGAUUAGAUACCCUGGUAGUCCACGCCCUAAACGAUGUCAACUGGUUGUUGGGUCUUAACUGACUCAGUAACGAAGCUAACGCGUGAAGU
rnacentral:rRNA from 1 species